ACGAGAGUGGCGGAAUUGGCAGACGCGCUAGAUUUAGGAUCUAGUCCCGAAAGGACAUGGGGGUUCGAGUCCCCCCUCUCGUA
rnacentral:tRNA from 1 species